rnacentral:rRNA from 1 species
UACGGGGGGGCAAGCGUUGUUCGGAAUUACUGGGCGUAAAGGGCUCGUAGGUGGCCAACUAAGUCAGACGUGAAAUCCCUCGGCUUAACCGGGGAACUGCGUCUGAUACUGGAUGGCUUGAGUUUGGGAGAGGGACGCGGAAUUCCAGGUGUAGGCGGUGAAAUGCGUAGAUAAUCAGGAGGAACACCGGUGGCGAAGGCGGAUCUCUGGGCCUUACCUGACGCUCAGGCACGAAAGCUAGG